AUAUGUGUAAACCAAAAAGAGUGCAUUAUAUUUCCAUAGUGAAAUAGACUUCCCACUGUUCCAAAGGGCAUUCCUAAAAAUAAUCAGUCCCAAUCACUUGAUGUGAAAAUGUGAAAAUCGAAAUCACUACCAGUAAAAACGGAGUUUCUGAUGAAGAACGGCUACAUAAAACGAUCAAUGACAAAUUAAGAAUUAUUUCAAGCGAGGAUAACAUAGAGAACAAGCUCACAAAAUUUGAGUUAAUUCUAUACACUUAUAAUCAUAAAUCGGUUCAUAAUACUACAAAAAGAUCCCCAGCUGAUAUCUUCCUGUACGCCGGACUACCAGAUUAUAACACCCAACUGAAUAAGGUUAGGAAGAUCAAUCAUUUAAAUAACGAUAGAAUCGACUUUGAAGUAGACACACGCUACAAAAAUGCACCCCUAGUUAAAACAAAAACAACCAAUCCGUUCAAAAUAACAGGGGAAAUUCGGCAGAGUACCCGAAGAGAGUACUGGGAAUCUGGAGCUACAACAUGAUUAAGAUUAUAAUCUUACUAAUGUUCACCGUCCUACAGUCUACCGGAUAGAAUAUAGAGAUAGAUCCCAUCAACUCAAGGAAUAAAUAUCUCAUUUUCAAAACAGAUACCAUUAACAUACCCAUUAAUUAUGAAUAUCAUUAUUUAACAAUUAAUAUAACAAGAACAGAUGAAACAUAUCAGAGUUUACUAGACCAGGCAACCCAAUUUAAUAACGUAAUCCAAGUUCAAUAUUUAGUCGAGACAUUGCAACGUGAAUUCAACGGCAUAAAAAUAGCCAAAAGAAACAAAAGAGGCCUUUAAAUGCAGUAGGCACAAUUUAUAAAUAUCUAUUUGGAACGUUAGAUCAUAAAGAUGAUAAAGUCGAACUAGAAGGGAAAAUAGACAAUCUGGCUAGCCACAGUGUUCAAGCUAACGAAUUAAACUUAAAAUUUCAAGCAGUAAAUUCUGGCAUAGAAGUUGUCAAUAAAUUAAACAAGAAUAAUGAUAGAAAUAAGCAAUUAGAAAUACUAAUAUUAAACCUUCAACAUUUUACUGAGUACAUAGAGGAUAUUUAAUUAGGCAUGCAGCACACCAAAACUUUCAAAUAAGUUUCAUAGAACCCAAUAUAUUGUUAACUUGGAAAUUACCACAAACCAUAUUAUACCAAGAUUGCCUAAACUAAGAAACAAAAGUAGAAGGCAACGCAAUAAUAAAAAUAAAUAAUUGCAGUGUACAAUUAAAUGAAUUCUUAAUAUCUAACUCAAUACCAGAAUUUGCACAAAGCAUAUACAUCAAAAAUAACGUAACAAGAAUUAAACAAUUGUCUUAUUUGCAAACCAAAGAAAUCGUAAUAGAAAAUACGCGAUUAAAUAAUGUAUUACAUGUAAGCUCAAUACUGCUAUUUGUCAUAAUCAUAAUAGCAUUAAGUUACAAAUUGUUUAAUCUAAGUAAAAUCAAUAAGCCUAAACCCGACUCCCACAUAGAAACAUCUUUAGACGAAAACGGGGAAUCCCCAGCGUGCACAGUUUUAGAUGCACCUGAACUAUAUCCAAGGAUAAUCGCCUGAGAACAGGCUUAAAUCGAACGAUGGGGAAGUGACAUAUCUAUAGUCCAUGCUCCGGAUACCCUUAUCUAUGUCUGUUACCCUGCACCCACAUACUAUAAACAAUCCAACACCCUCAGCAUCGAAUCUCAUAAACAUCCCACGCUCGAAGUGGACCACUUGUAGCCGAUAGCCGGCAAUGUAAACAAACACCCUAAGCUAGGAGUCGAACAUAAAACAAUAGAUGCCGCGUAUCCAGCCGCACUA